UACGGGGGGGGCAAGCGUUGUUCGGAAUUACUGGGCGUAAAGGGCUCGUAGGCGGCCAACUAAGUCGGACGUGAAAUCCCCAGGCUCAACCUGGGAACUGCGUCCGAUACUGGAUGGCUUGAAUUCGGGAGAGGGAUGCAGAAUUCCAGGUGUAGCGGUGAAAUGCGUAGAUAUCAGGAAGAACACCCGUGGCGAAGGCGGCUCUCUGGAACGCAACUGACGCUGAGACGCGAAAGCGUGGGGAGCAAACAGG
rnacentral:rRNA from 1 species